ACAGCAAACACCUGAGCAAGUAGGACAGGAGCUAGGUCCCAAGGCCUGGGAACAUGAACUCAGUUUUGAUCCAGUCAGCUGAGAUGGCUGGGCUCAGGAAACUGUCUCCUAACAGUAGAACGAGAGAGAUGGGAAGGAUGUAAGAGCCAGGGGACCAUUUGCUGGUCUGCCGAUCAUCUUAGAGUCUCUGCAGAAGAUGCCUGGGCUGGGAAAUCCAUUUGGUCCAGAGAAGAGAGAGACCAUCGAGGCCACUGGCUUUAUCUUACACCUGCUGCCCUUGACCAUGUGGUGAUGCCCAAAUGAUCACUCUGGAAUCCUAGACCUUGGAACCAGAGCCCAAGAAACCUCUGUGCUUUAUAAGUCACUCAACCAGGAAUACUCAGAUAUAGUAACAGAAGACAAAGCUAAGCCACACGGGAUGUAAGGAGAUGAGCCCAGAUAGAAAUAAGGCUACAGAAUCAAUCAGAUGGAAAAAAAUCACUCCUGUACCUGUUCGUGUUAGAACUGCAUCAUGUUUUCAUACUGGAAAAAAUGUUUUAAAUACACCCUCUACC
rnacentral:lncRNA from 1 species